CAAAUACUCCCUCCGUCCGGAAAUACUUGUCAUCAAAAUGGAUAAAAGGAAAUAUAUCUAGACGUAUUUUAGUUUUAGAUACAUCUAUUUUUAUCCAUUUUGAUGAAAAGUAUUUUCGGACGGAGGGAGUAGAAA
rnacentral:pre_miRNA from 1 species